UGGGGAAUAUUGCACAAUGGGCGCAAGCCUGAUGCAGCCAUGCCGCGUGUAUGAAGAAGGCCUUCGGGUUGUAAAGUACUUUCAGCGGGGAGGAAGGGAGUAAGGUUAAUACCUUUGCUCAUUGACGUUACCCGCAGAAGAAGCACCGGCUAACUCCGUGCCAGCAGCCGCGGUAAUACGGAGGGUGCAAGCGUUAAUCGGAAUUACUGGGCGUAAAGCGCACGCAGGCGGUUUGUUAAGUCAGAUGUGAAAUCCCCGGGCUCAACCUGGGAACUGCAUCUGAUACUGGCAAGCUUGAGUCUCGUAGAGGGGGGUAGAAUUCCAGGUGUAGCGGUGAAAUGCGUAGAGAUCUGGAGGAAUACCGGUGGCGAAGGCGGCCCCCUGGACGAAGACUGACGCUCAGGUGCGAAAGCGUGGGGAGCAAACAGG
rnacentral:rRNA from 1 species